ACGUUAGCGGCGGACGGGUGAGUAACACGUGGGUAACCUACCUAUAAGACUGGGAUAACUUCGGGAAACCGGAGCUAAUACCGGAUAAUAUUCGAACCGCAUGGUUCGAUAGUGAAAGAUGGUUUUGCUAUCACUUAUAGAUGGACCUGCGCCGUAUUAGCUAGUUGGUAAGGUAACGGCUUACCAAGGCGACGAUACGUAGCCGACCUGAGAGGGUGAUCGGCCACACUGGAACUGAGACACGGUCCAGACUCCUACGGGAGGCAGCAGAC
rnacentral:rRNA from 1 species